CUGUGAUCUAUCAAAUUAUAGACCAAUUUUCUAAUCUUUCUUGUAUUUCUGAAAUUUAGAGAAAGGUGUAGGUAAGUGGUUCUCUAUAUUUUUGCAAAUAAAAGUAAUCUCUUGUAACAUUUUCACCCAGGUACUGCUUUAGUCAAAGUAUUCAAUGAUUUGCACUCCACUGACGAAGGUUGCAUUUUUAGGCCCAUAGUAUUACAUCUACAAAACACAUAACUAUUCAAUUGGGAGAGUCAGUACCACUGCUGACUCAAUGCAACAGAUGUUGCACCUUGUUCCAUUGUCCUUUUUGUAGUGGUAAUGUUUUUAAGCCCUCCAAACUGGAAAAAUUAAAAAAGCAUUUGAAGAGUCAUUUCAAGAAGGCAGUUCUCCAUGAAGUAACAUGACAAAACGAAUAUCUUCAGGCACAUGGAUACUAAUUAAAAACAAGAAUCUUCCACAGCAGUUGGUUGGGUCAGUGGAUUGUGGAGUAUUCAUGUUGAUGGACAAAGGCGUUCACUAAAGGGGCACUGGAGAGUGUGAAUGAGACCCAGAGCAGUGAGGAGGAACCACUAAUAAAAAGGGACCUCCACACUGCAGUAAAAUGGUUGCACCAACAUAGACAGUUGUUCAGA